AAGAGAUGAGCAUGCGUCCCAUUAGUUAGUUGGUGUGGUAACGGCACACCAAGACUUCGAUGGGUAGGGGUCCUGAGAGGGAGAUCCCCCACACUGGUACUGAGACACGGACCAGACUCCUACGGGAGGCAGCAGUGAGGAAUAUUGGACAAUGGACGGAAGUCUGAUCCAGCCAUGCCGCGUGUAGGAAGACUGCCCUAUGGGUUGUAAACUACUUUUAUACAGGAAGAAUAAGAUCUACGUGUAGAUUGAUGACGGUACUGUAAGAAUAAGGACCGGCUAACUCCGUGCCAGCAGCCGCGGUAAUACGGAGGGUCCGAGCGUUAUCCGGAAUUAUUGGGUUUAAAGGGUCCGUAGGCGGGCUGUUAAGUCAGAGGUGAAAUGCUGCGGCUCAACCGUAUGCACUGCCUUUGAUACUGGCGGUCUUGAGUUAUAGUGAAGUGGCUAGAAUAAGUAGUGUAGCGGUGAAAUGCAUAGAUAUUACUUAGAAUACCGAUUGCGAAGGCAGGUCACUAACUAUACACUGACGCUGAUGGACGAAAGCGUGGGUAGCGAACAGGAUUAGAUACCCUGGUAGUCCACGCCGUAAACGAUGGAUACUAGCUGUUCGGUUUUCG
rnacentral:rRNA from 1 species